UCGAGGAUCUUCGGCAAUGGGGGCAACCCUGACCGAGCGAUGCCGCGUGCGCGAUGAAGGCCUUCGGGUUGUAAAGCGCGAAAGUGGGGAGAAAAGCCGCAAGGUGUGAUCUAUCCACAGUAAGCUCGGGCUAAGUUCGUGCCAGCAGCCGCGGUAAGACGAACCGAGCGAACGUUGUUCGGAAUCACUGGGCUUAAAGGGCGCGUAGGCGGGCUGUCAAGUUUGGGGUGAAAUCCCGCGGCUCAACCGUGGAACUGCCUCAAAUACUGACGGUCUCGAGGGGGAUAGGGGCGAGCGGAACUAAUGGUGGAGCGGUGAAAUGCGUUGAUAUCAUUAGGAACUCCGGUGGCGAAGGCGGCUCGCUGGAUCUCAUCUGACGCUGAGGCGCGAAAGCUAGGGGAGCAAACG
rnacentral:rRNA from 1 species